GACCACGAACAUCCGGUUGCCGCCAUUUUAGAGCGUUAUCUGCUCUCUGAGUGUUUCUUUGGACGCUCUCGAAUGGUUCGAUAUUUUUCCUGAAAAUCUCGCAAGUAGCUCAUUUAUUUUUCGCAGAACAUACUGCAGUAGGGUUAGUGAUUCAAGAUGAGUUACGGCAGACCUCCGCCCGACGUCGAGGGCAUGACAUCGUUAAAAGUCGACAAUCUGACGUACCGCACGUCCCCUGAAACGCUGCGGCGGGUUUUCGAGAAAUACGGCCGAGUCGGAGACGUCUAUAUCCCGAGAGACCGGUACACAAAAGAGAGCCGCGGGUUCGCCUUUGUCCGUUUUCAUGAUAAGCGGGACGCGGAGGAUGCAAUGGACGCCAUGGACGGCGCGCUGCUGGACGGCCGCGAACUGCGCGUGCAGAUGGCGCGAUACGGGCGCCCGCCAGAUUCGCAUUACAGCCGCCGCGGAGGCCCGCCGAGGAGAUACGGAGGACAUGGACGGAGAAGCCGAAGCCGUAGUCCUCGGCGCAAGAGGCACAGCAGGUCUAGAUCCAGGAGCAGAAGCCGGUCCCGUUCCCGUAGCAGAUCCCGCUACAGCCGAUCCAGGUCCUACUCCCGUUCCCGAUCUAAGUCCCGUUCCCGCUCCAAAACCCGCACACCACGCAGAAGCAAGUCCAAAUCGGCUUCCAGGUCCCAUUCAAGGUCUAAGUCCAAGUCUCGCUCCAGGAGCCAUACUCCCAGAUCAAACAAAGGAUCCAAAUCACGAUCCAGAUCGAGAAGCAGACCCAAAUCUCCAGAGGAUACUGGAGCCACUGCUGAAUCCUGAGCUGAAACAUAGCUGCUGAUUCCUGUUUGCAAAAGAGGAGUUUGGGGCAGUUUGAGAGCAGUUAGUGUGUGAUCCGACCAUUGGCUGCCUGCUGCUGAUUGGCGGUUGCUAUGGAGCAGGUCGGUCUCAUUGAGUGUUGAGGUGGUGUUGAGAUGAUGUCAGCUGGUAGAAUCUUCGAGGAUCGCACCGAACAGAUGUCCAUCUGAGGAUACCCAAAUUAUCCAUAUAUCAAACCGAAAGGUUAUUGUAAUUUGGUCUAAAUCUUUUAAAUGACUACUUGUUGUUGUUUCUGUUGCCCACAAUUGUUUUUGUCUCAUACAUUUGAAUUUCAUGGAUAUUAAAUGAUCUUUAUGCCUAAAUUGGGCUACUAGGUGAAAUCGCUUCUCUUCAUUUUUGGUAGUUUGUUUUUUGUUUUUUUGAAACUCCCAGACUAAAGUAAGUUCAUUUUAAUGAGUUUUUUGUUCUUAAUAAACGCUUAUUAAUGGACAAUUUUGGAUGUUGUGAAUAUUUCUUUAACCUUAAAGGACUGGGUAGAGACUGAAAUUUGGCCACUAAAAAAAAAACCUUUAUGUAAAACCAUUACAUCAAAGCUUGCGAACUGAGCAGGUGUUAUGGUUUAAAUGGAAAAAUUUCACAACAACAUGAUUCUAAUAUUCUCUCCUGUGUAUUUUCUAUGCACUAGGCGCAGUUGCGUAGCAGUUGAGUUUUGCUGGUUAGCUGUUAAGGUGGCGUGUUGCGGUGCAGAGUGCUUGGCUGUUUCCAGUAUUCUCCUGAUUGCUCCUGUGUAACGCCUUGAUUUGAUUUUCUUUCAAUUUUGGCUGCAGCGUUUAUUCUUUUUGCAGAAAGAUCCUGUGCAAGUCCUUUUGUGAAAACCUAUUAUAAGGCAGAUAUCUGAGCUUAUUUCACAUCUCCGGAAGAGUUCUAUCAUUUGUGACAUGCUCACUUGGUCAUAAUUUCCAUGUGAAUAAUAAAAGGUUUUCUUUCUCUGA